UACAUGUGGGGCAAGCGUUGUUCGGAAUUACUGGGCGUAAAGGGCUCGUAGGUGGCCAACUAAGUCAGACGUGAAAUCCCUCGGCUUAACCGGGGAACUGCGUCUGAUACUGGAUGGCCUGAGUUUGGGAGAGGGAUGCGGAAUUCCAGGUGUAGCGGUGAAAUGCGUAGAUAUCUGGAGGAACACCGGUGGCGAAGGCGGCAUCCUGGACCAAUACUGACACUGAGGAGCGAAAGCCAGGGGAGCAAACGGG
rnacentral:rRNA from 1 species